UACGUAGGGUGCAAGCGUUAAUCGGAAUUACUGGGCAUAAAGGGCUCGUAGGUGGCCAACUAAGUCAGACGUGAAAUCCCUCGGCUUAACCGGGGAACUGCGUCUGAUACUGGAUGGCUUGAGUUUGGGAGAGGGACGCGGAAUUCCAGGUGUAGCGGUGAAAUGCGUAGAUAUCUGGAGGAACACCGGUGGCGAAGGCGGCGUCCUGGACCAACACUGACACUGAGGAGCGAAAGCCAGGGGAGCAAACGGG
rnacentral:rRNA from 1 species